rnacentral:misc_RNA from 1 species
UGUUCAAAAGUUUAGAAUCCUCGCCGCCAGAGUUCGCAAACUUGUCCAAAUCGCCCAUCGCUUCCGCUCACUUCUUUUCCGUUCGCUUGCCUUCAGGUCCAAGUCGUUGUCUCUGAUUUUAGUCUGGUGAUAAAAAUGAGUGAAACUUUGCAGCUGAAAGGCACCCUUUUGGGGCAUAAUGGGUCGGUAACCCAAAUUGCUACAAAUCCCAAAUACCCCGACAUGAUUUUGUCUUCAUCGAGAGACAAGACACUCAUCGUUUGGAAACUAACCCGCGAUGACACCCAAUAUGGAGUCCCCCAAAAGCGUCUUCACGGCCAUUCUCACUUCAUUUCCGAUGUGGUUUUAUCCAGUGAUGGAAACUACGCCUUGUCCGGAUCCUGGGACAAAACCCUUCGUCUUUGGGACUUGGCCGCUGGCAAAACAACCAGGAGAUUCGAAGACCACACUAAGAAUACUUCUACUGGUUCAGUCGAAGAUGCAGGUUGCAGACGCUCCUUGAGUUGUGCUUAGAAAGACGUGUUGAGCGUCGCUUUCUCCGUGGACAAUCGUCAAAUUGUUUCUGGAUCCCGGGACAAAACUAUCAAGCUGUGGAACACAUUGGCUGAAUGCAAGUACACAAUUCAAGAUGAAGGACAUUCUGACUGGGUAUCUUGUGUAAGAUUCUCGCCAAACCAUGCUAACCCGAUCAUCGUAUCAGCUGGUUGGGAUCGUAUGGUUAAGGUGUGGAACUUGACCAAUUGCAGACUAAAGAUUAACCACUCUGGUCAUGCUGGCUAUUUGAACACUGUAACCGUCUCUCCCGAUGGCUCUCUUUGCGCAUCAGGAGGAAAAGACUGCAAGGCUAUGCUAUGGGAUUUGAAUGAUGGCAAACACUUGCACACUUUGGAUCACAAUGACAUCAUCACCGCUUUGUGCUUCUCGCCAAAUAGGUACUGGCUAUGUGCCGCCUACGGUCCCUCAAUCAAGAUCUGGGACUUGGAAAGCAAGGAAAUGGUUGAGGAACUCAAACCCGAAGUCGUCUCUCAAUCACAAGGUUCCAAAGCUGAACCUCCACAGUGUUUGUCUCUUGCUUGGUCUACUGAUGGCCAAACUUUGUUUGCCGGAUACUCAGACAACAUUAUCAGAGUAUGGCAAGUCAGUGUUAGCGCACAUUAAGUUUCUAAUUUGAAAGGAAAUGUGAUCAAGUGCAAGACUUUCAAUAAAAGUUUUUAAGCUAA